rnacentral:rRNA from 1 species
AGCAGCCGCGGUAAUUCCAGCUCCAAUAGCGUAUAUUAAAGUUGUUGCAGUUAAAAAGCUCGUAGUUGAAUUUCGAGACCGGCUUACUGGUCGUGCUAUUGUACGUACUGGUAUAAUCGGUUUCUCCUUUCUGACGAACUAUGAUGUCAUUAAUUUGGUGUUAUGGGAAGUUAGGACUGUUACUUUGAAAAAAU